rnacentral:lncRNA from 1 species
GAGAGGUAUCGUGCCAGUUGGUGAACGCACGGCAUCUUCGUCCUCAGCAUUUACCUUAUCCACUAACCAUUUCAACAAGCUCAAACAACCCCAACGCGGAAAUAGAGUGUUAGCCACUUCAGCUUCGUAAUACCAAUGCAUUUGUCUGACGCUUGAACACAAGCCCACCUGAAUAAUUGAUUUUCAAAGAAGUACACGCAGCACUCCAUAACGAUUCACCGGCACGCUCUCCAUGAUUCUCACCGAGAGCGUGCAUUCUCGACAGCAUGCUACAUUGCUUAUCUAAACAUCUCUUGUUGAAGUUCACAUUUAGUGGAAAUUAAAAACGUAAUGAUUUGGAAUGAAAUACCUUGGACGUAAAACCAGCGCGACAGUAUCGAUUGAACACAGUAGUUUUAUUAUCUUGCGCGGGCCAGCCAGGCCAGUCGGAUCCCGUGUUCCACAAAAAAUCGACGGUAUGAUUGGUACCAAGAAUAGAAUUAUUCGCUCAGGACGAAUUGUUAGCUUCGGUGGGAAAUGAAAUAGCGCAUAGCCGCGCUGUAGAUUAAUCGGGCGAGGAUGAAGUACGGAUGGAAGUGGAGGCAAGACUGAGACGACGACGAGGACACACGCGAGUCAGGUGGUGGAAUCUGAUAUUUCGCAGGCGCGCGCCCCACAGGGGUGUUUUUGAGGUGCCCCUGAUGAAAGCAAUUGGAUAAGAUCUCGCUGAUCUACCUCGCGUUAUCGAUGGAAUCGUUUAAUGAAAUUCUUCGUUCCUUCUCCGAGCUAUCAAAGAGAAACCAAUCGCUCCAAACUAAUCGGAAAAAGUUUUAAUCAUGAAAAUUUCCAUGUCUUUGUCGCACUGUUUUUUUACUAUGCAAUUUCAAUAAAAAUUCUUUGAGGAAAAUUCCCGCUACGUUAAAAGACGCAUUCGAGUGUCUCAUAAUUGCUGAAGAUAGCUGUGUAUGACAAAUAGGCACUAGACGAAACGGUCGCGUUAACCUGGGCAAUAAAGAUAGAUGAAACGUUCCUGGACACGUGAGCUGUGCAGGUGGUGGUCGAGCGGGAGCGUACGAGCAGCGUACCAGGCACCUUUGCACACCCCCGCGGCGCAACCCCCGCGAAAACCUCGUCGAAAUAUAGGCAAGGAAGUCAAAGCAAUCGUGUGGAUAAUCGGACUACACUCCGCUUCGCGACUUCGCGUGUAUUCUGACCCACUUACACGGCUGCAUCUCCGUGUCACGUGGACAAACCGCGGCAGGUGGCGGCCUGAUGAAUCGCUCGCUCGCUUGGCCUGGUAUCGCUAAUUGCUAGGAAGGGCUUCGAUCUUCGCCCGAUAAUGCCUAUUUUCGGAAACCGGCCAAAUUUGUUUUCUCUGACGUCAAAUUCAGUGUUGAUCGCGUGCGAAAUAAAACGUAUGCGGCGAGAUCUUUCGAGAUACUCCGAGAUUUUGAAGAAGUUGUUUGACGAAAUAUUAAAAAAACACGAAACACUGAGAAAUUGUUGGAACGAUGUGAAUGAUAUUACUGUCGUUGACGGACAGCGGUAAGUGAAGUUGGCGAUAAAAAUGCGAUUAAAAUCGUGAAAGAAAUUACCUAAUAUAUAGAAAAUAAAGACAUGUAUUUGUAUACUAUAUCAAUGAUUUAAAUAAUUUCCAUAAAAUAAUUAUAUUGCAUAUGAGA